GUUCCUGUAACGUGAUGGAUAGCGUGUUGGACAUCUAAUCCAAAGGUCGUGGGUUCGUAUCCCCCGUGGAAUG